rnacentral:lncRNA from 1 species
GCUAGUAGGCUGUUGUUAUUUAUGUAUUAUUGUCAUUUUGUUUAUUUUCUUUGGUUACAUCUUCUGACAUCAGACUCGGACUUCUCUUGAACUGAAUUUUAAUGUGCGUAUUGUUAUGCGUUUACUUUUCUACAUUGGCUAGAGGUAUAGGGGGAGGGUUGAGAUCUCACAAACAUGUUUAACCCCGCCGCAUUUUUGCGCCUGUCCCAAGUCAGGAGCCGCUGGCCUUUGUAAGUCUUGUAUUAUUUCUAAUUUUAGUUUCUUGUGUACAAUUUGGAAAUUAGUAUGGCGUUCAUUAUCACUGAACUAGCAUAUAUUUGUUUAGGGGCCAGCUGAAGGACGCCUCCGGGUGCGGGAAUUUCUCGCUACAUUGAAGACCUGUUGGUGACCUUCUGCUGUUG